UACGAAGGGUGCAAGCGUUACUCGGAAUUACUGGGCGUAAAGCGUGCGUAGGUGGUUGUUUAAGUCUGUUGUGAAAGCCCUGGGCUCAACCUGGGAAUUGCAGUGGAUACUGGGCGACUAGAGUGUGGUAGAGGGUAGUGGAAUUCCCGGUGUAGCAGUGAAUGCGUAGAGAUCGGGAGGAACAUCCAUGGCGAAGGCAGCUACCUGGACCAACACUGACACUGAGGCACGAAAGCGUGGGGAG
rnacentral:rRNA from 1 species